CAUGUUUGGCGGAGCAUGCCCCCCCGCGCUGCGCCGCUCUCUCGACCAGCCGGCCGUCCCACAGGGGCAGCGCGGGGACCGCGGGGUGACCGGACCCUCUGGGACGGGGGCCAGGGGCGCACAAAAAGCGGAACGAGGUCGACGCCUGGAACGCGGAGGUGGCGGAUGCGGCGGAGGCAGCGGCAGCAGCGACACUCUGCAGUUCCUCGUGUCUGUACGAGCGCUCAAUGUGGGCGCGCUUCCCUGGUCGAGAGGGCGUAUUGCGGCCCCGCACCCCUCGCCGGACACUUUCCUGCACCCUGUGCAGGGAGAGGAGUUCCAGCUGGGGGAGCGAGAGAGGGAGCCCCGCUUUCACAUGGAUGAAUCAUUCAUGGGUGCCUCUGGCGUGGCACCGCUCUUAGCAUAUGCUGAGCAUGCAGUUGGUCUGCUUGCCGACACGCUUCGCUCAAGGCUAACGCACUCCUUGGCCGGGGGCCGCCUCCGCGCCCACAGGCCUCGGGCCCCCGGAUGGCCGUGGAGCCAAACACCUCGUGCCUACCCCAGCAGCUCUCCGGAGGCUACUUCACGGCAGGCAGCGCCUCACGUGGACCUCGCUUCGUUUUUACACUGCUCAUUUUUGCGUCGUGCUCCCUGUGAAGAGCACCAUCUGACCGCACUGCGUGCUGCAUCGGUGCAAAACGCAGUGGCGCGCAGCUUGUCGCACGUCCACCGCAGCACUGCUGGAUUGGCCAUGAGCGCACGGGGGGUCGCGGGGCGUCGGAGGGUCGUCGAAGCUCUGGUCUCAGCCUGCUGCGUCUAGGGGCUACCAAGGCCUGGAGCGCACCUCCUCCCUAUGGCGGAACGCAGCCCCUCCCCCUCCCCUCAAGGCGGGCACAGUCGCACCCGCACCCAAGAGCGCGGGCCUGCUAACGGACCGGAUCUCCCUUCGGCCCGGGGUACGUGCAUGCGUUAUCCUGCGCUCGUGACAGAGUGUGUUACGCCUGGGGAUGGGUGUGUUCAUGCAGACAUGUUACGUGCCGCAUUUUGGAUUGCCCUAUGGGAGGAGCUACUUCAAGCCUGCUGCACUCCCAUUGGCUGUAAUGAACAUCCGUUACUUGUUAUGUCACAGCCUCCUCGUGAGCAGGACAGCUAUUCAUAAAAGGAGCUUCUUUCUGUCGGCCUCUUUUGCUCUCCAUUGCUAUUGUAAAUUAAUGCGGCGGUCAUGAUUUAGACGUGAAUACGGUAGUAAUUUUUAAUCCGUAUAUUAGUCAAUAUUAGUAUAGUAGAAAUUUUUUCUUGUUUCUCUUUUUAUACUUCCAGAUAUUCUAGCAAAAUGUCAUCAAAAUGUAUACAGUUCUGCGUAAGAAAAUUAAAGUACACUUCAGCCUUUCGGUACAACCGUGUUCUGGCCCUGGUGCUGUGAGGUUAUCUCCUUGAUCCAGGGUAUCGAAACAAAAGUGUGUCGAUAAUGCAACGAUUUUGUGUUUUUUCACGUUUUUAACGUUUUUUUUCCGCAUUCGUUGCGUUUCACUCCUGAUUCUUUGAAGAAUUUAUGUGAAGCUUUAAAAAAUGUUUAGUUUCCCUUUUCCUGCGGCAGU
rnacentral:lncRNA from 1 species